rnacentral:rRNA from 1 species
UACGAAGGGGGCUAGCGUUGUUCGGAAUUACUGGGCGUAAAGCGCACGUAGGCGGAUCGAUCAGUCAGGGGUGAAAUCCCAGGCUCAACCCUGGAACUGCCUUUGAUACUGCAAUCUCGAGUCCGGAAGAGGUGAGUGGAAUUCCUAGUGUAGAGGUGAAAUUCGUAGAUAUUAGGAAGAACACCAGUGGCGAAGGCGGACUCACUGGUCCGGUACUGACGCUGAGGUGCGAAAGCGUGGGAGCAACAGGG